UACGUAGGGUGCGAGCGUUAAUCGGAAUUACUGGGCGUAAAGCGUGCGCAGGCGGUUCGUUGUGUCUGAUGUGAAAGCCCCGGGCUCAACCUGGGAAUGGCAUUGGAAACUGGCGAGCUAGAGUGUGGCAGAGGGGGGUGGAAUUCCGCGUGUAGCAGUGAAAUGCGUAGAGAUGCGGAGGAACACCGAUGGCGAAGGCAGCCCCCUGGGCUGACACUGACGCUCAGGAACGAAAGCGUGGGGAGCAAACAGG
rnacentral:rRNA from 1 species